GGCAUUCAUGAUGACCUACUACAGUAUUCUAGAACAAAAUUACCAACAAGCAGCCAUAACUCCCUGUCUAAAUUUCUUGACCAGUUGCCUGUGGUUGAAGGGCUCAUCUGUAAGAGGUGGGAGCAUAGGGAGUGAUUGACACAGGCUUCAUGAAGUUAAAGAUUGUUUGUAUUCGUUCUGUGGGCAGCAUAGCAACAUCAAUAACAUCUUCGUCUGCUUGUCUUUUUUGUCUGGUUCUAUUAUAUAGUCACUUCUAUAAUUUCCAUAUAAUCUUCUGAAAUUCUGUGUCUAACUCAGUGGCCGCAAAGGUGUACUGAUUAAAAUAUUAAUGAUUUUCUUUGACAGGGAGAAGUGGUCAGCCAUCACCGAGUCUCUCAUGGGCAACCAGGCUGAAAAUUGCCAAGGCAACAGCCAAGGGCUUAGCCUACCUU
rnacentral:misc_RNA from 1 species